GGCUCAGGAUGAACGCUAGCUACAGGCUUAACACAUGCAAGUCGAGGGGCAGCAUGAACUUAGCUUGCUAAGUUUGAUGGCGACCGGCGCACGGGUGAGUAACACGUAUCCAACCUGCCGAUGACUCGGGGAUAGCCUUUCGAAAGAAAGAUUAAUACCCGAUGGCAUAGUUCUUCCGCAUGGUAGAACUAUUAAAGAAUUUCGGUCAUCGAUGGGGAUGCGUUCCAUUAGGUUGUUGGCGGGGUAACGGCCCACCAAGCCUUCGAUGGAUAGGGGUUCUGAGAGGAAGGUCCCCCCACAUUGGAACUGAGACACGGUCCAAACUCCUACGGGAGGCAGCAGUGAGGAAUAUUGGUCAAUGGACGAGAGUCUGAACCAGCCAAGUAGCGUGCAGGAUGACGGCCCUAUGGGUUGUAAACUGCUUUUAUAAGGGAAUAAAGUGAGUCUCGUGAGACUUUUUGCAUGUACCUUAUGAAUAAGGACCGGCUAAUUCCGUG
rnacentral:rRNA from 1 species